AGUUUACGGUUUAGAGUGCAGUGCUAUCUGUUUAAAGGUGGGGAAAACAUCUGAAAAAUUACAAAACAGACUUCAGCACUUCGUUAAACACACAGCUCUUUCAGAAGUGCAGCCGAUCCCCUCUCCCCGUUUCCAUUACAGAGACAAAUGGCAAAUAAGACCUUCUUGAGAGGACCAACAUUCGUUCAACCAUCCCUGGAUUUCUUUGGAAACCAAGAUGUGGAGUGUUUACCAUUUGUUUACAGUGUGUAGGCAAUGUUUACAGAACAGAUAGAACUCCUUCUAUAAAAUAAACUCUUCGCCCCUUUUU